AUUUUAGCGAUGAAUGCCUCGGCUCGGGUUACGAUGAAGGACGCAGCGAAUUGCGAUAAGCAAUGCGAAUUGCAGAAUUCCGUGAAUCAUCAGAUUUUUGAACGUACUCUACGCUCUCGGGUAUCCCUGGGAGCAUGUCUGGUCUCAGCGU
rnacentral:rRNA from 1 species